rnacentral:lncRNA from 1 species
UUGGAUUAUGGUGUAGUAAAUACAAACAAAAGGGAAAACAAGUGGUUUUGGGUUCAGAGCCAAUGUCAUUAUUCUUUUCACUGUGUUUGUUCAUUUUAACUUCUUUUCUUUUUUAAUUGCUCAGUUUUUUUUUGAUAUUUUUUUUUCAACUGAGUGCUCUUCCUUCGGUGAGUGCUUCUUUCGAAUCAUCGACUAUGUUUUGUUUUAUCUUUUUUUUAUGGUCAUUUUUAUUCUUAUUAUUUUUUCCUCACUCACCUUGGUUUUUGAUACUUAUGGGGUUUACCCCAAACAUAGAAUUUAACACAACUUAAUGACAUCACAUUGACUCCGAACAGGGUAAGGAAGUGUUUUAGACCGAGGAUUACAUUUAUGUGGUUAUAAAAACAAAGGGUACAUGCUCAAAUAGGGUUAACAAAGGAUAAAAUUAAC